rnacentral:rRNA from 1 species
GACGAACGCUGGCGGCGUGCUUAACACAUGCAAGUCGAGCGGUAAGGCCCUUUCGGGGGUACACGAGCGGCGAACGGGUGAGUAACACGUGGGUGACCUGCCCUUAGCUCUGGGAUAAGCCUGGGAAACCGGGUCUAAUACCGGAUAUGACUCCAUGACGCAUGUUGUGGGGUGGAAAGCCUUGUGCGGCUAGGGAUGGGCCCGCGGCCUAUCAGCUUGUUGGUGGGGUGAUGGCCUACCAAGGCGACGACGGGUAGCCGGCCUGAGAGGGCGACCGGCCACACUGGGACUGAGACACGGCCCAGACUCCUACGGGAGGCAGCAGUGGGGAAUCUUGCGCAAUGGGCGAAAGCCUGGCGCAGCGACGCCGCGUGAGGGAUGACGGCC